CGAGCUCAUCAUUCGCUUUCAUCGUCUUCCAACAGCUGCAACACAUCGCCCUAAAAAUGAAUUUCAUUAUUCAGAUGGUCUUCUUCGUCGCCAUUUGCGCUGCCGUUUUACCCAGCUCAUCUGCUGUUCCAUUCGACAGUGAAGUACAAGGAGAAGAAGCUAUUUCGAUGCGCGAGGGCGACGCUAUCAAGGAGGCGUUAGUGGAAGAAAUUGACAAAGCUGCCGUGUGCACCGCGUGCCUGCAGAAAUGCUACUCCGCUCCUAACAAGGCUGUUUGUGUCACUGCAUGCAGACGCUAUUACUGUUAGACUACCAAGCAAUGCGAUGGAAUUCCGGCAUUUCAACUAAGACCACCCGACACACCAAGCAUCCGGACAUGGCAAUUACACCGACCCAGUCCACUUUUCCAAUGACUUCUCAUUAUUUUUAUUUUUUCCUUGUAUGGCCAAUACAAUAUAAUAGAUAGCACAAA